rnacentral:rRNA from 1 species
GACGAACGCUGGCGGCGUGCUUAACACAUGCAAGUCGUACGGUAAGGCCCUUUCGGGGGUACACGAGUGGCGAACGGGUGAGUAACACGUCGGUAAGCUCCCCACCACGUGGGGAUAAGGGUCGGAAACUGGUCCUAUACCUCGAUAUGUCCUCGUGCUGCAGGGUGGGGGUUGGGGAGCUCCCGCGGUUGUGGGUGGGGUUGCGGGCUAUAAGCUUGGUGGUGGGGUAAUCGCCUCCAGACGCGGCGGCGGGGAGCCGGACAGAGGGGGUGACCGGCCACAUUGGGACUGAGGGGCGGCCCAGGCUCCUAAGGGAGGCAGCAGGGGGGAAGACUGAUCAAGGGGCGCAGGCCGGAGGCAGCAACGCCGCGGGCGGGAUGACGGCCUUCGGGUUGUAAACCGCUUUCAGCAGGGACGAGGCUUUUUGUGACGGUACCGGAAGAAGAAGCACCGGCUAACUACGUG